rnacentral:tRNA from 1 species
GCCCCCCUAAUGCCGGCCUCCCAAGCCGGUGAUCCCGGGUUCAAAUCCCGGCGGCCGCA